AUUGAACGCUGGCGGCAGGCCUAACACAUGCAAGUCGAACGGUAACAGGAAGAAGCUUGCUUCUUUGCUGACGAGUGGCGGACGGGUGAGUAAUGUCUGGGAAACUGCCUGAUGGAGGGGGAUAACUACUGGAAACGGUAGCUAAUACCGCAUAACGUCGCAAGACCAAAGAGGGGGACCUUCGGGCCUCUUGCCAUCGGAUGUGCCCAGAUGGGAUUAGCUAGUAGGUGGGGUAACGGCUCACCUAGGCGACGAUCCCUAGCUGGUCUGAGAGGAUGACCAGCCACACUGGAACUGAGACACGGUCCAGACUCCUACGGGAGGCAGCAGUGGGGAAUAUUGCACAAUGGGCGCAAGCCUGAUGCAGCCAUGCCGCGUGUAUGAAGAAGGCCUUCGGGUUGUAAAGUACUUUCAGCGGGGAGGAAGGGAGUCAAGUUAAUACCUUUGCUCAUUGACGUUACCCGCAGAAGAAGCACCGGCUAACUCCGUG
rnacentral:rRNA from 1 species